rnacentral:misc_RNA from 1 species
GAUGAAGAACGGAGCGAAAUGCGAUAAGUAAUGUGAAUUGCAGAAUUCAGUGAAUCAUCGAAUCUUUGAACGCACCUUGCACUCCUUGGUAUUCCGAGGAGUACGCCUGUUCGAGUGUUAUGAAGCUCUCAAAACGCAAUUGCCUUAAAACCUGAUUGUUGUUUUGGAUUUGAACUUUGCCGUGUUAUAACGGCUGGUUUUAAAAGUAUUAGCUGGUACUAGAACGAAUUGGUUCUACUCAACGUGAUAAUUAUCUGAUCGUUGAGGACAUUCCUUUCACGAGGAAUGGCCAUAGUAAAUUCAAUGGACUGCUUCUAAUCUGGCUUUAAUUCUUUAUUGGAUUAACCACUUUUCAAAUCUGACCUCGAAUCAGGUGGGACUACCCGCUGAACUUAAGCAUAUCAAUAAGCGGAGGA